rnacentral:rRNA from 1 species
GUGGGGAAUAUUGGACAAUGGGGGGAACCCUGAUCCAGCCAUGCCGCGUGUGUGAAGAAGGCCUUUUGGUUGUAAAGCACUUUAAGCGAGGAGGAGGCUACCGAGAUUAAUACUCUUGGAUAGUGGACGUUACUCGCAGAAUAAGCACCGGCUAACUCUGUGCCAGCAGCCGCGGUAAUACAGAGGGUGCAAGCGUUAAUCGGAUUUACUGGGCGUAAAGCGCGCGUAGGUGGCCAAUUAAGUCAAAUGUGAAAUCCCCGAGCUUAACUUGGGAAUUGCAUUCGAUACUGGUUGGCUAGAGUAUGGGAGAGGAUGGUAGAAUUCCAGGUGUAGCGGUGAAAUGCGUAGAGAUCUGGAGGAAUACCUAUGGUGAAGGCAGCCAUCUGGCCUAAUACUGACACUGAGGUGCGAAAGCAUGGGGAGCAAACAGGAUUAGAAACCCUAGUAGUCC